CCCGUCCCAUGGGCGGCCGAGGCGCGGGCGGUGCGGGGGGAGGCGUGGUGAGUUUGGCGGCGCGUCUCUCAGGUGAGCAGCGCUGUGUUGUUUUAAUCACUCGCCGGCCGCGCUGUACGGGUUCUCGUGGGCCGAGGAUUUCCUCGACCUGGCUGGCUGGGAUUUGUGCUCAGUCCCCUCUUGCGGCCCCGAGAAGUCAGCUCCUUCGUGCUUGGUGCUUUUGGAGGUGGUGCUCCUUCUGCCUGCCCUGCCGUUUGAGCAGGGUUCUGUGCCCGGGCUUGUAGAGCUCACGUCUCUUGAUUCCCAUAGUCUGUAAGUCUGACUGGUACCAGUUCUGCGCUGGUGCUGUGGUGGUUGGAUUUGGUGACGUUAAAGGCUUUUUCCAACCUAAAUGAUGCUACGGUCCUGUAACUGGAAAAUCAUAGAAUGGGUCACAGAAUAACUCGGGCUGGAAGGGACCUCAGGGCGCACCCAGUUCCAAAGCCCUGAGUAGACAGGGCUGCCCCCACCAGCUCAGGCUGCCCAGGGCCCAUCCAGCCUGGCCUUGAGCACCUCCGGGGGUGCGGCACCACCACAGCUUCUCUGAGCAGAAAAAAAAAUAAAUAAAUAAACAAACAAAUAAAUAAUAAUAAUAAAAAAACCACUUCAGCACAUUUGGAAGUUUGUAAGGCACUGAAGACAGGCCUAGCUGAGGCAAUGCGGAUUUCCACUAGUGGUUCAGCACCUGGCAGUGCGAGGAGAUGAUCUCUGUCCGGCUUCCCAGGUGCAUGCAGCUUUGGAGGAGGAUGAUGGCUUCAGCCACAGCUCAGCUGCCACCAGCUCGGGCAUCAGAUGUGAAACGCUCAGAGGUGGCUGUGGAACGUGCCGCAGUAAGAAGAGAUGGGGAGGAAAUGAUUUCUGCCUUCUGUGAAGAAAAAAAGCAGGGAGAAAAUGCCUGAGGAGAGCAAAGAGGAUGAAGGCCCUUUGUUGUGAACACAAGAAGAGCUGCAAGAGAAAAGGGGCGUCGCAGUGUAAAAUCAGACUAUUUUAUGAUGUGUGGCAACAGUGACAUGUGGAGAUUUAAUUUUAUAUGCCAGUUUUCUAUUAUCUGAUUCUAGUCCUAUUGUUCUUCCAAUAUAGAGCUUUAAUAAUAAAGCAUUUCCCUGGUGUUCAUUUCUGUCCUGUCCUGUCAGGCUGAACUUUCUUCUGUUGCUUGGUGUAAUUAAAUGAGAGGAUCACUGCUGUGUUAUAAGACCUCUCUCUUUUCCUAUUGUGUAAAUACUUAAAGCCUAACAUAUGUUGGAAAUUCUCCCUUUUAAAAAUGAUUGUUUUUUAAUUUGAAAGGAAUUAAUUCGAAAGGAAAAAAAAAGGAUGUCUGUCUUCUUGACAGAAUAUAG
ensembl:lncRNA